GGGAGCGGAUGGGGUGCUGGUGUCCCCCCCGGCCUUCAAAGCCGAGCGGGAGGCGCGUUGCGUCUCCGGUGGGUUCGAUUCCCACACGUUCCCGCCA
rnacentral:tRNA from 1 species